UGUAGUAUUACGCGCUGACAUGAGUAGGGGUCCAACACCUCCUGAAACUUAAAAUAAGCAAAAGUUAAUGUCUCCCUACGCUAGUCUAACUUAAUACGCCCAAGGUGUACAGAACGGCAAAAUGUCUCUCCAAAUAUCUGAGCUUGGGAGUCCGGAGAAACCCCUUGUGAUAUGAUGAUUUGGCCAAAUUGGGCGGA
rnacentral:ribozyme from 1 species